rnacentral:lncRNA from 1 species
AUAGAUGAAUAGAAUGAGCAAAAGUUGCAGCACAGCGUGUCACCAGAGAGGAAAAGAAUAUCCUUGCUGUGCCAAGAAAGAAAAGACCAUGGAUCUACUAGUUGCAGAUUUCAGCAGUAAUGCCAAGGGGGCAAGAAGUGACCAGCAGAACAAUUAGGCCAUGGCAACAGAAGCCAACUACAACCCAUGUUCCAAUCUAUGACCUCCCUCUCCUGCUGGUACAAGGAUAUGUAUUCCUUAGAGCAAAGGAUGCAAUGUCAAGCAAGUUGUGAUACCUCAACUAUCUACAAUUUAACACCAAGGAAAGAACACUGUUUGGAGAAAUGAGAAAGAUUAUCAUCAGUGUCUUUCAGAAGUCAUCAAAAGAAGAAAAGGAGAAAAGAGAGGAGAAAGCAGAAAGAUCUGGAGUCUGGGAAGUUCAAGAGCAUGGCACCAACAUCUGGCAAGGGCUUUCAUUCUGCAUCAUCUCAUGGAGGAAAAUAAAAAGGCAAUGUCUUCCAGAGUCCUCACGAGUAUCAGAGAAGGCAUAAUCUGUACACGUGGCUUCAUUUAAAAUGAAAAUAUCAAGCAGUGUCAUUUUCACAAGUAUCCCCACACUGUCUGAGGCUGAAAAGAAGAGUGUAGCUAUGCACACUGCAGUGAGAAGAAAAUUUCAGCUCAAUUGGAGGAUGUAAAGAUUGAAAUACCACUGCUCCUAGUUCUGAUGCAAAAUUGAAAAGAGUGCACUGGGUCUUCAAAUGGCAUAUUGACAAGGAGAAAGAGGAAAGGAUGCCCCAGGACAGCCUGGGGGUCAAGGCUGGGCUCAGGCAUGCCUGGACAAGCCAUGCAAGUUGUCUCCGGACUUGAACCACGUAUCAGAGGAGCUAUUUGAGGAGCCACAUCAGCAUACCUGCUUCUGUGGGCCCCCAGGCUGUGGUGCUCAGCCCUUGCACUAUGAAACAUUUUUUUUUUCCAGAAGCCAAAGCUUUGAGCAUCUCCUCCCAUGUAGAGAGUGUAUAUGUUUACGUCCAUGUCUUUCGCCAUGUGAACGCAUGCAACCACCACCUCAAAUAUCAUAAAUCCUCUCUCUCCCCCUUUCUGUCUGCCUGUUUAUCUACAAUCUGUCUAUUUAAAUUCUUUUUAAACAAGAAGGGAAUAUCUUUAUGCCUGUUUGUAGGGAUAUUCUACAUCCAUCUGUUAUUUACAUCAUUCGUUUUCCUGAGGUGUCUCCAACAAAUCCUGGCUGGAUGCACUGUAUGUGUUAUUAAUAAAACAGCUGUAAAAAUAUUAA